CCUCACAUGUUAAGUGGCAAUGGAGUCGCAAGCAAACAGAGUGACAGUGUAGUUGCAAAACUUUUGCCACUAGGAUACAACUACACUGUUUACCCGUAGUCACAAUUAUCUGUAACUAAUGAAAGACUACAGUAUAUAUAUAAUUAUUAAAUUUUAUAUAAAAAUUAAAAUAAUAAUUUUUGAAUUGAUUUAUGACAAUGUAUAAUUAAAACUUCAAAAAUAUAUAAACAUUAAUCGUUAAAAUCUGCUUUAGAUAUUAAAAAGCUUAAAAUCUAUACAACUAAUAGAAUUGAUGGUAAUCACUAAUCAGCAUCUAGUCGUCUCUUGUUCUUCAAUCUUGUGUUGAUGAGCUUGUAGUUGUUCUUGCAUUUCUUCAAAUGUUUGUGCUUGUCUGGAUAAUAACCGGAGAUGCAGUGGCGGAGUCAAAGAUCUGGACAAGAAACGCAUCGGCAGAGUUGUAGAGUUUGACCGGAAAUGCAGCGGCGGAAUUGUAGAGCUCCGGAAAUGCAGCGGCGGAGUCCUAGAGCUUGCUCUGAGAUGGCAUCGAGACAGGUCCAAGAUGCAGCAGUGGGUCAGCAAGACGCCUUGACAGAAAACCAGGAGGGGGUAACAAGUCUCGUCCGACGGUGAGAUUGAGCUGCCGUUGUGACGGUGGGAUUAAUGUAUAACGUCAUCGUUCUCCCUCCGCUAGUUAAACAGAUCUGUCCAAAACAAAAAAGAUUGAGUUAUUAUAAACAAAUUUUGAAUUGAUUAGGACUAGAAGUAAACUACAUUGCUGAGGAAGCUAAGACGGGUGACAAAGAGAGAAGAUAAAGAUCUUUGAGAAAAAAAAAUUAAUGUUGCAGUCUUGCAGAGAAGGAAGAGAAAAAGG
rnacentral:lncRNA from 1 species